CUCCUUUAUUUUCAAAUAAUUUUGAAAAAGCAGUAAAAUUUAUAGUUUUACCAUCUUUAUUAAUAUCAAAAGAUUGAGUCGGUGGUAAAGAAGAAAUCAUUACAUCUCCUGUAGUUAAAUGAUAUUCAUAUUCUAUAACAGAUAAAUAAUAUCCCACAUAUUUAAUCAUGAACCAUGGGACAAAUGGCAAUAAAGUAUUAUCUCUUUCUAGAUCUUUAUAAAAAUCUUUAGAAAAAUAACCUCUUUC
rnacentral:lncRNA from 1 species